rnacentral:rRNA from 1 species
AACGAACGCUGGCGGCAGGCCUAACACAUGCAAGUCGAACGCUCCAGCAAUGGAGAGUGGCAGACGGGUGAGUAACGCGUGGGAACCUACCCUUUGGUUCGGAAUAGCUCAGGGAAACUUGAGGUAAUACCGGAUAAGCCCCUCGGGGGAAAGAUUUAUCGCCGAAGGAUGGGCCCGCGUCGGAUUAGCUAGUUGGUGGGGUAACGGCCUACCAAGGCGACGAUCCGUAGCUGGUCUGAGAGGAUGAUCAGCCACACUGGGACUGAGACACGGCCCAGACUCCUACGGGAGGCAGCAGUGGGGAAUAUUGGACAAUGGGCGCAAGCCUGAUCCAGCCAUGCCGCGUGAGUGACGAAGGUCUUCGGAUUGUAAAGCUCUUUUGGCGGGGACGAUAAUGACGGUACCCGCAGAAUAAGCCCCGGCUAACUUCGUGCCAGCCGCCGCAGUAAGAC